rnacentral:rRNA from 1 species
AUUGAACGCUGGCGGCAGGCUUAACACAUGCAAGUCGAGCGGAGAUGAGGUGCUUGCACCUUAUCUUAGCGGCGGACGGGUGAGUAAUGCUUAGGAAUCUGCCUAUUAGUUGGGGACAACAUUCCGAAAGGAAUGCUAAUACCGCAUACGUCCUACGGGAGAAAGCAGGGGAUCUUCGGACCUUGCGCUAAUAGAUGAGCCUAAGUCGGAUUAGCCAGUUGGUGGGGUAAAGGCCUACCAAGGCGACGAUCUGUAGCGGGUCUGAGAGGAUGAUCCGCCACACUGGGACUGAGCCACGGCCCAGACUCCUACGGGAGGCAGCAGUGGGGAAUAUUGGACAAUGGGGGGAACCCUGAUCCAGCCAUGCCGCGUGUGUGAAGAAGGCCUUAUGGUUGUAAAGCACUUUAAGCGAGGAGGAGGCUACUGAGACUAAUACUCUUGGAUAGUGGACGUUACUCGCAGAAUAAGCACCGGCUAACUCUGUGCCAGCCGCCGCGGUAAGAC